rnacentral:rRNA from 1 species
UACGAGGGGGGCAAGCGUUGUUCGGAAUUAUUGGGCGUAAAGGGUGCGUAGGCGGUCUGAUAAGUCAUCUGUGAAAUCUAUGGGCUCAACCCAUAGUCUGCAGGCGAAACUGUCGGGCUUGAGUAUGGGAGAGGUGAGUGGAAUUCCUGGUGUAGCGGUGAAAUGCGUAGAUAUCGGAAGGAACACCUGUGGCGAAAGCGGCUCACUGGACCAUUACUGACGCUGAGGAGCGAAAGCGUGGGGAGCGAACAGG